rnacentral:snoRNA from 1 species
CACGCACAUUGUUAGAGCUUGGAACCAGGGGCGCUGUGUGACCCAGGGGUUCUCAAGUGUAGGUAGUGUGCCACACGAGGGGCGAGGCGUUCGCUAGCACCCGUCCUCCGCUGUGGACGCGGCUUGCUAGUAGCCCUUGCUACAGGC